AGCUUUGACGCUGACUGAGGUCUGCCGGUGCCUGUUUGCGCCGGGAGCUAAGAGGGAAGCCGGUGCCCCGUCACAGGGAAAUCCGGCGCUGUUCCCGCAACUGUGAGCGAGGAGUUGUGAACCGCAAUAGCCACUGGGUGACAGCCUGGGAAGGUCGGUUCGGAGCGAUGAUACGUGAGCCAGGAGACCUGCCCCGGUCGCAUAUCAACC
rnacentral:ncRNA from 2 species